GACGAACGCUGGCGGCGUGCUUAACACAUGCAAGUCGAACGGGCCCGCUCUCUUUUUUGGGGGUGGGUUGAGUGGCGAACGGGUGAGUAUCACGUGAGUAACCUGCCCCCUGCUCCUGGAUAACUGCUUGAAAGGGCGGCUAAUACGGGGUGUGCCGGCUGGUCCGCAUGGGCCUGGUCGGGAUAGUUUCAUCUUUGGGUGUUUCGGUGGGGGAUGGGCUCGCGGCCUAUCAGCUUGUUGGUGGGGUGAUGGCCCACCAAGGCGGUGACGGGUAGCCGGCCUGAGAGGGUGGGCGGCCACACUGGGACUGAGACACGGCCCAGACUCCGGCGGGAGGCAGCAGUGGGGGGGAUUGCACAAUGGGCGGAAGCCUGAUGCAGCGACGUCGCGUGAGGGAUGGAGGCCUUCGGGUUGUGAACCUCUUUCUCCGGUGGUGAAGGCCCUGUCCGUUGCGGCGGGGUUGACGGUAGCCGGGGAUGAAGCGCCGGCUAACUACGUG
rnacentral:rRNA from 1 species